CACGUAGGGGGCGAGCGUUGUCCGGAUUUAUUGGGCGUAAAGAGCUCGUAGGCGGCUUUGUCAGUCGGGUGUGAAACCUCCAGGCUCAACCUGGAGCCGCCACCCGAUACUGCAAUAGCUAGAGUCCGGUAGGGGAGCAUGGAACUCCUGGUGUAGCGGUGGAAUGCGCAGAUAUCAGGAGGAACACCGGUGGCGAAGGCGGGAUCCUGGGCCAGUACUGACGCUGAGGAGCGAAAGCGUGGGGAGCGAACAGG
rnacentral:rRNA from 1 species